rnacentral:tRNA from 1 species
GGCUUAGUGGUCUAGUGGUAUUAUUCCUGCUUUGGGUGCAGGAGGUCCCGGGUUCAAUCCCCGGCUGAGCCC